rnacentral:rRNA from 1 species
ACGGCUGAGUAACACGUCGGUAACCUACCCUCGGGACGGGGAUAACCCCGGGAAACUGGGGCUAAUCCCCGAUAGG